GACGAACGCUGGCGGCGUGCCUAAUACAUGCAAGUAGAACGCUGAAGAGAGGAGCUUGCUCUUCUUGGAUGAGUUGCGAACGGGUGAGUAACGCGUAGGUAACCUGCCUUGUAGCGGGGGAUAACUAUUGGAAACGAUAGCUAAUACCGCAUAACAAUGGAUGACCCAUGUCAUUUAUUUGAAAGGGGCAAUUGCUCCACUACAAGAUGGACCUGCGUUGUAUUAGCUAGUAGGUGAGGUAACGGCUCACCUAGGCGACGAUACAUAGCCGACCUGAGAGGGUGAUCGGCCACACUGGGACUGAGACACGGCCCAGACUCCUACGGGAGGCAGCAGUAGGGAAUCUUCGGCAAUGGGGGCAACCCUGACCGAGCAACGCCGCGUGAGUGAAGAAGGUUUUCGGAUCGUAAAGCUCUGUUGUAAGUCAAGAACGAGUGUGAGAGUGGAAAGUUCACACUGUGACGGUAGCUUACCAGAAAGGGACGGCUAACUACGUGCCAGCAGCCGCGGUAAUACGUAGGUCCCGAGCGUUGUCCGGAUUUAUUGGGCGUAAAGCGAGCGCAGGCGGUUUGAUAAGUCUGAAGUUAAAGGCUGUGGAUCAACCAUAGUUCGCUUUGGAAACUGUCAAACUUGAGUGCAGAAGGGGAGAGUGGAAUUCCAUGUGUAGCGGUGAAAUGCGUAGAUAUAUGGAGGAACACCAGUGGCGAAAGCGGCUCUCUGGUCUGUAACUGACGCUGAGGCUCGAAAGCGUGGGGAGCGAACAGGAUUAGAUACCCUGGUAGUCCACGCCGUAAACGAUGAGUGCUAGGUGUUGGAUCCUUUCCGGGAUUCAGUGCCGCAGCUAACGCAUUAAGCACUCCGCCUGGGGAGUACGACCGCAAGGUUGAAACUCAAAGGAAUUGACGGGGGCCCGCACAAGCGGUGGAGCAUGUGGUUUAAUUCGAAGCAACGCGAAGAACCUUACCAGGUCUUGACAUCCCGAUGCUAUUUCUAGAGAUAGAAAGUUACUUCGGUACAUCGGUGACAGGUGGUGCAUGGUUGUCGUCAGCUCGUGUCGUGAGAUGUUGGGUUAAGUCCCGCAACGAGCGCAACCCCUAUUGUUAGUUGCCAUCAUUCAGUUGGGCACUCUAGCGAGACUGCCGGUAAUAAACCGGAGGAAGGUGGGGAUGACGUCAAAUCAUCAUGCCCCUUAUGACCUGGGCUACACACGUGCUACAAUGGUUGGUACAACGAGUUGCGAGUCGGUGACGGCAAGCUAAUCUCUUAAAGCCAAUCUCAGUUCGGAUUGUAGGCUGCAACUCGCCUACAUGAAGUCGGAAUCGCUAGUAAUCGCGGAUCAGCACGCCGCGGUGAAUACGUUCCCGGGCCU
rnacentral:rRNA from 1 species